GACGAAGGGGGCUAGCGUUGUUCGGAAUUACUGGGCGUAAAGCGCGUGUAGGCGGUUGCCCAAGUCGGGUGUGAAAGCCUUGAGCUCAACUCAAGAAAUGCACUCGGUACUGGGUGACUAGAGGACCGGAGAGGAUAGUGGAAUUCCCGAGUGAUAGUGGUGAAAUACGUAGAGAUUGGGAAGAACACCAGUGGCGAAGGCGGCUAUCUGGACGGUUCUGACGCUAAGACGCGAAAGCGUGGGGAGCAAACAGG
rnacentral:rRNA from 1 species